rnacentral:tRNA from 1 species
CAGGGAGACAACAAAAUGUUUAAUAUUAUUAUUUUGUCACCUUAGGUCGACCGGUAUCUCACGUUCUUAAUUUGUUAAGAAUUUCAUUUCCUAAGUUUUUCUAGGUCACACCCAUUAUUUUUCCUGGGCCAUUAGCUCAGGUGGUUAGAGCGCACCCCUGAUAAGGGUGAGGUCCCUGGUUCAAGUCCAGGAUGGCCCAUAUCUCUAUGUUGGGGGUAUAGCUCAGUUGGUAGAGCGCCUGCUUUGCAAGCAGGAUGUCAGCGGUUCGAGUCCGCUUACCUCCACUGAUUACCACCUCUUCCAUAACCGGUAAAAAAGGAAAUGUUUUGAGUUGUGAUCAUUAUUCUGAACGAAUCUAGCUUCCUAAUGAAAUCAUUAAGAUGCUGGACUCAUUGAAUUAAUUUCAUUGUUUUCAGAGAACCUUGACAACUGCAUAGAUUAUUUUUAAAGACAAUGAGCAUCUUUAAUGAUGCAGAUUUAUUAUUUGUGCGAAUGCAUUAAUAACAAUUCUAUUAAGCUGGUGCUUCAAUUUUUGAAGCUAUU